rnacentral:rRNA from 1 species
AACGUAGGUGGCGAGCGUUAUCCGGAUUUACUGGGCGUAAGCGUGUGCAGGCGGGGGUCCAAGUGGUGUAUGAAAGUCGCCCGGCUUAACCGGGCGGGGUUAUGCCAGACUGGACUUCUGGAGUGCGAGAGAGGGGCGUGGAAUUCCGGGUGUAGUGGUGAAAUGCGUAGAGAUCCGGAGGAACCCAGAGGCGAAGGCGGCGCCCCUGGCUCGCAACUGACGCUCAGAC